UACGAAGGGGGCUAGCGUUGUUCGGAAUUACUGGGCGUAAAGCGCACGUAGGCGGACUAUUAAGUCAGGGGUGAAAUCCCGGGGCUCAACCCCGGAACUGCCUUUGAUACUGGUAGUCUCGAGUCCGGAAGAGGCGAGUGGAAUUCCCGGUGUAGCGGUGAAAUGCGCAGAUAUCGGGAGGAACACCAAUGGCGAAGGCAGCUCGCUGGGACGGUACUCGACGCUGAGACGCGAAAGCGUGGGAGCAACAGG
rnacentral:rRNA from 1 species